UCAUUUUUUAUUUUAUUUUAGGCAAAAUCUUGCAACUUUGUCUUCCUGCCUAACUGUUAAUUCUAGUUUAGUCUCAGUUUCUGUCAUAUUGGGUGCAGUUACAGAAUCCCAUAGAUUUGGUCAGUUGUGAUCCUAUUUGCAUAUACAGUACUUUAGAAAGUCCUUAUUCACAAAACUUUCACAGUAAAUUACUGUUUUUUUGCAGUAAAUUAUUGUGAAAUGACAUCAAUAUACAGUGAUCUCACAGUAGUUAUACAUACGACUGCGAUAAAGCAGUAAAAUUACUGUAUUUAACUGUAACCUCACAGUUAAAACCCAUUACAUUACUGAUAUAACAGUACAUUCUUGUAAAUUACUGUAUUUAACCGUAACUUCACAGUUUAUGUACAUUUGAUUACUGUGAUUUAGCAACAUGCUAGCACAGAAUUAUUGUAUUUCACUGUAAUCUCACAGUUAAACUCCAUAUAUUACUGUGAUUAAGCAGUAUGCUUCUGUAAAACUACUAUAUUUACCUGCAUGAAUUUUACAAUACUAUUCUGAAUUUAGUUAAAUAUCACAGUAAAAGCCAUUGAGGUCAUAAUAAUGUAAUUUAUGGUGAAAUAUUACAGUUACAUAUUGUAAAUUCCUGGAAAUAAUUUGCAGUGUAGAAAUACUCACUGAUAAAAGGAGCAUUUGUUCACAAUGGGAGAGAGAUAGGUAGGGUUACUUCAUGUCAACAUAAAAUUUGACAGGUAAGGUACCUUACAGUUACAUAUUGUAAAUUCCUGGAAAUAAGGUACCUUUCCCCGUUUUUUCACUACCCCUCCUACCGUUUACGUUUGAACCAAUGAGCUAUGGUUGAAGUCUUUCAAGAGACAAAUAAAUAUUGCAGCUUUGCAGUGUUGGAGUAUACAGAACUUGUGAAAAAGGAAUUGAAGAGAACCAAGAGCUAGAAGAAAAGAAAAGUGGAUUAUAAGUCAGUAAAACUAAUUUUAGUAGACAUGUUGUUGGACCUGUCGAAACAGCAGUAUAGCAGGUUUUUGCACAGUCUUCUCGACCGUACGAAUGAUGAUACGAUGUCUGAUAAAGAAAAUGAGGAUUUUGAUGUGACGACGUCUGAUAAAGAGAAUGAGGAUGAUGAAGUGACAUCGUUCGAGACAGGGUAUUGUUCGGAGGUAAAGGAGGAAGAGGAGGAGGAUAGCAGAGAGAGUCCUCCUCUGGAAAAGCGUCCGAGGAGGGGAAUUCAGUUUGACGACAAUGAGUUGUCUAAGACGAGAACCAUCUUGGCUGCAUUGUGGCAAUCCAAAACCACAGUCACAGGCAAAUGGAUGACUCAAGCCAGUGUGUGAUCACAAAAUAUGGAAGGGAAGAGAUCCGCCGACAUUUUCGUUUUGGAGAGAUUUAAUCCUGACUGUGGGUUAUUCCGAACCGUCUUAGUCAUACCUGCGACAGAAUGGCUCAACAGGAUGCUGAAGGGAGAGGAUUUCAAAUUUUUUCUUGAGCUGCCGCAACUGGAGAGAAUCUGUGGUGGUGAAAAAAACUCUAAACUUUUGACUAGAAAAAGAAAACUUCCCACGCCUUCCACAUCCAAACCACACCUUCCGUUUCCAAACCAAAACUUCCGUUUCCAUGCCACACCUCCCGUCUGGUAUUAUAAAGUCCUCUGUCUUGACCAAAGCAGUUGUAGAGAUGGACAACGCAGGACAGAAGAAGUACUUCCCUUGUCCUUGUGCGCUCUUCCGUAGUGCUUCUUUUUCCGACUUCACCUACCUCGGUUCAAUGGAAUCUACAUUACACACUCCGUAUGAGGAGCGGCUGACUUCUGACGAGGCCGGGAAGGACAAGCUGACUUAUGACAUGGUUGGAAAGAAAGAGCAGACUUCUGCCAUGGUUGGGGAGGACGAGCAGACUUCUGACAUGGUUGGGGAGGACGAGCAGACUUCUGACAUGGUUGGAGACAGGGCCGUCACAACCAGACAGGCAAACUAGGCAAUUGCCUAGGGCCCCGAGCUGGAAGGGGCAACACAGAGAUGGCUGACAUCGGUCCAUAUCAAUGACAAUAUGAAUGGAACCCCUAUAGACACUGCAGCAACGACAACACGUCGGUACCCCCCCUAAUGGGCCCCCCCCCCCUACUUGCUGCUGCUUGCGAGUGGCUAGAGGGGGCCUCCAGGGGCUGCUGACAUUUGGUCUGUAAUCAACGACACAACUUGAAACCCCCUUAGAGACACUGCAACGACGACACGUCGGAGACCUCCCUAAUGGGGCCCCUACAGCUGACUGAGCUGACUUACUGCUGCCGCUGCCGGUGCCGCUGCCGGUGCCGUGCGGGCUGUGGCAAAAUGAAGCGAACGUAUCCCUCAGGGCACGCUAAAAGAAAAAAAAAGCAAGAGGAGGAUGAAAAGAAAAAACGAGACAGUGUGAACACAACACCCCUGCAGACUAGGGUCGUGUACCCCGGAAGAUAGCGACACUUUGGCUGCGCUGUCUCCCUGUGUGAGAGCAUGUGUACGAAUGAAGCCAAGACCGACUGUGAAAAUAUUUCCUCUGCCAGAUGCGGAAAUAAACGGCGGGUGCCAACAGUGCUUCAUGACUGAUUUUUCUCGUGAUUAUACACAACACAAGAAAGAGAGAGUACACAACCGCUACAUAAUCACUCCAGUGUCAGGUGCUUUGUUGAAAUAUUUUGGUCCACAGCAACAGCAUACCUCUACAGUUGCCUCAACAGAUGAAGGACAGAGGGUGAAAUGAGGAGACAGAGAGAGAGAAUGGGGACUGACAUGCAGCAAAGGGCCGCGAGCCGGAUUCGAACCCUUAGCCGCUGCGGCGAGGCAAUGCCUCUAUACAUGGGGCGCCAGCACUAUCCACUACGCUACCGACGCCCCAGAAUGCGUGCUAUCCCGCAGGGGAGAAGCGCACUUGGCAGCAGCUUAGGAUGAA